rnacentral:rRNA from 1 species
GUCUAUGGCCAUACCACCCUGAAAAUGCCCAAUCUCGAGGGAUCGUGGAAGCUAAGCUGGGUCCGGCCUGGUUAGUACUGGGAAGGAAGGAAUAUCUUCCCUCUAAAUAUU